rnacentral:rRNA from 1 species
UACAGAGGUGGCAAGCGUUGUUCGGAAUUACUGGGCGUAAAGGGCGCGUAGGCGGCCAUCUAAGUCAGACGUGAAAUCCCCCGGCUUAACCUGGGAACUGCGUCUGAUACUGGACGGCUUGAGUAUGGGAGAGGGAUGUAGAAUUCCAGGUGUAGCGGUGAAAUGCGCAGAUAUCAGGAGGAACACCGGUGGCGAAGGCGGGUCUCUGGGCCGAUACUGACGCUGAGGAGCGAAAGCGUGGGGAGCGAACAGG